CAAGUCGAACGGCAGCACGACGUGUAGCAAUACACGUUGGUGGCGAGUGGCGAACGGGUGAGUAAUACAUCGGAACGUGUCCUGUAGUGGGGGAUAACCAAUCGAAAGAUUGGCUAAUACCGCAUACGAUCUACGGAUGAAAGCGGGGGACCGCAAGGCCUCGCGCUAUAGGAGCGGCCGAUGUCCGAUUAGCUUGUUGGCGGGGUAACGGCCCACCAAGGCGACGAUCGGUAGCUGGUCUGAGAGGAUGAUCAGCCACACUGGAACUGAGACACGGUCCAGACUCCUACGGGAGGCAGCAGUGGGGAAUUUUGGACAAUGGGCGCAAGCCUGAUCCAGCCAUGCCGCGUGAGUGAAGAAGGCCUUCGGGUUGUAAAGCUCUUUCGGCGGGGACGAAACGGUCCGUGACAACACCACGGACUAAUGACGGUACUCGCAGAAGAAGCACCGGCUAACUACGUGCCAGCAGCCGCGGUAAUACGUAGGGUGCAGGCGUUAAUCGGAAUUACUGGGCGUAAAGCGUGCGCAGGCGGCUCCUUAAGUCAGAUGUGAAAGCCCCGGGCUUAACCUGGGAACUGCGUUUGAAACUGGGGGGCUAGAGUGUGGAAGAGGGGGGUGGAAUUCCAGGUGUAGCAGUGAAAUGCGUAGAGAUCUGGAGGAACACCGAUGGCGAAGGCAGCCCCCUGGGCUAACACUGACGCUCAUGCACGAAACGCUCCCCAGCAAACAGGAUUAGAUACCCUGGUAGUCCACGCCCUAAACCAUGUCAACUGGUUGUCGGGGAAGUAAUUCCUUGGUAACGA
rnacentral:rRNA from 1 species